UACGUAGGGUGCAGGCGUUAAUCGGAAUUACUGGGCGUAAAGCGUGCGCAGGCGGCCUUUUAAGUCAGAUGUGAAAUCCCCGGGCUUAACCUGGGAACUGCGUUUGAAACUGGAAGGCUAGAGUGUGGAAGAGGGGGGUGGAAUUCCAGGUGUAGCAGUGAAAUGCGUAGAGAUCUGGAGGAACACCGAUGGCGAAGGCAGCCCCCUGGGCUGACACUGACGCUCAUGCACGAAAGCGUGGGGAGCAAACAGG
rnacentral:rRNA from 1 species